GCCUCCGUAGCAUAGCGGCUAAUGCGCCGGUCUUGUAAACCGGAGAUCCCGAGUUCAAUUCUCGGCGGAGGCU
rnacentral:tRNA from 1 species